UACGAAGGGGGCUAGCGUUGCUCGGAAUCACUGGGCGUAAAGCGCACGUAGGCGGCUUUUUUAAGUCAGGGGUGAAAUCCUGGAGCUCAACUCCAGAACUGCCUUUGAUACUGAGAAGCUCGAGUCCGGGAGAGGUGAGUGGAACUGCGAGUGUAGAGGUGAAAUUCGUAGAUAUUCGCAAGAACACCAGUGGCGAAGGCGGCUCACUGGCCCGGUACUGACGCUGAGGUGCGAAAGCGUGGGGAGCAAACAGGG
rnacentral:rRNA from 1 species